rfam:Nomascus leucogenys chromosome 6, whole genome shotgun sequence.
GCUGGGGGUGGUGGCUCAUCCCUGUAAUCCCAGCACUUUGGGAGGCCAAGACAGGAGGAUCACUUGAGCCCAGGAGUUCAAGACCAGCCUGGGCAACACAGUGAGACCCUGUCUUGU